rnacentral:rRNA from 1 species
GACGGAGGAUGCAAGCGUUAUCCGGAAUGAUUGGGCGUAAAGCGUCCGCAGGUGGCAGUUCAAGUCUGCUGUCAAAGACCGGGGCUUAACUUCGGAAAGGCAGUGGAAACUGAACAGCUAGAGUAUGGUAGGGGCAGAGGGAAUUCCUGGUGUAGCGGUGAAAUGCGUAGGAGAUCAGGAAGAACAUCGGUGGCGAAGGCGCUCUGCUGGACCAUAACUGACACUCAGGGACAAAAGCUAGGGGAGCGAACGGG